AACCCAUGGUGAGGGCACAUUUUCAGUAAGUCCUUAUAUCUCUCCCAUGCAUCGUAAAGUGUUUCUAAAUCCAUCUGCACAAAAGAAGAGAUAUCAUUACGUAAUUU
rnacentral:snoRNA from 1 species